AGUAACGCGUGGGCAACCUGCCUCAUACAGGGGGAUAGCAUCGGGAAACUGGUGGUAAAACCGCAUAAGCGCACGAAGACGCAUGCAUUCGUGUGAAAAGGAGAAAUCUGGUAUGAGAUGGACCCGCGUCUGAUUAGCUAGUUGGAGUGGUAAAAGCACACCAAGGCGACGAUCAGUAGCCGGCCCGAGAGGGUGGACGGCCACAUUGGGACUGAGACACGGCCCAGACUCCUACGGAAGGCAGCAG
rnacentral:rRNA from 1 species